rnacentral:rRNA from 1 species
CUUGUACACACCGCCCGUCACACCAUGGGAGCGGGUUCUGCCAGAAGUAGUUAGCCUAACCGCAAGGAGGGCGAUUUCCACGGCAGGGUUCGUGACUGGGGUG